rnacentral:pre_miRNA from 1 species
GGAAACUUGGAAACUACCGUUGGAUCGAGAAAUGGACGUCCGAGAUUCGUCCACAUCACCAUGAGUUAAAAUUCAACUCCCGGUAAAAUUUUAACUCAUGAGUGAAUCUGCGAGUUAAAUUUUAACUUAUGGUGACGUGGACGAAUUUUGGACGUCUAUUUCUCGAUCCAACGGUAGUUUCCAAGUUUCC